GCUGAGAUUGCUCAGUUAGUAGAGCGUGAGACUCUGAAUCUCAGGGUGGUGGGUUCGAGCCCCACGUUGGGUG